CCAACUAAAAAGAUGAGUUCAUAAGAUGUGGUUAUUGAGAAUGGUUUGUUUUUGUCUUAGAAAGCAAUGAACCAGUUACCACUUAGCAGUGUUGUUUUAUUUGACGACCAAAAUGAAUUAGGCAUAUUCUCUCUCUCUCUCUCUCUAAUCGUAAUUCCGGUUUAAGAAAGGACCGGGGUUUGAUUGUUAGAAUUAGGCGCAACUUAAUAUAUGAUCUCCGUAUAAACCGGGAGAAAGAGAUAAAGAAAAGAGAAAGAGGAGGAGACGUCGAGCGACGGUGUUAUUCCCGGGUUUCAAGGCGGCGAUCCCACCGGCUCCGGCACGGGUAAUUUCUGCGCCUUUUGAUUAUACGGUGUCUUUGCCGAAGAAAGACUGAGAGAUUCAACCAAACCACCGAGGGAGGGUAAUGCGGGCUCACCCGAUUGAGAUUAUGAUGGCCACUACUUCUAUUAUGAUGUCUGGGUGGUCAGAGAGCAAGUCACCCUCACAGCCAUUCUUUUUUUACUGGCUGGAGGGAGGAUAUAGGGGACCGGCAACGAGAAACACCCCACAAGUGUUCUGCAAAGACAAUGCAUCCGAUGGAGAGAGAAGCAUAUGAAGUGCUGAUGGAAGAUGGGAGAAUAAUGUAUGAAAAUGGUCGGAGGCGCCACUACAGCUGCUGGAAGAUUGGUCGCUCGCGAUGGGAUCCUUGAGGUUACGUGAAAUCAUCGGCUAUAGGGCCACACAGUGGACACUAUCUCCCAACAAGACAAAACCUUCUUAAGUUUCUUAGAGGAGCACAACGUUGAUUGAUCUGAGAUGUUCGGUGAAUGAGGAAUAUAAUCCACUGCGGACGAAGAAGAAGGGACCAAAAGAAAUCCCAGAAGAAGUUGUCAGAGCAAGAAGAGAGAGAGAGAAAGAGAGCACAGAAUGCAGUGUUUGAUCUUGCAAAGACAGACUUGACUUAUAAAUGGACAAGUGGAUAUGGUCCAAGAAUUGGGUGUUUUAGAGAAUGGAGCUACAAGCACAAGCGCGGUGGAGCAAGUCAGCCUCUCUCCUCGGGUUUCGCUAGCUAAUAAUCUAACCAAUAAUAAGCUAAGACCUUCUAUACCUAUGUAAAAUUAUUUUUUUACUUUCCUUUAUUGUGUCGUGUAUGUAGAAUUUUACGUAUCAAGAAAACAUUUUUAGCCCCAUACAGAGGUAGUUUGUUUCCCUGUUUUACUAUAUAGUCUAUGUACUUUCCCUUUUUUGGUCAACGUCUUUCUUUUUUAA